GAGUUUGAUCCUGGCUCAGGACGAACGCUGGCGGUGCGCUUAAUGCAUGCAAGUCGAACGGGCAACGGGGCUUCGGCCCCUGCGCUAGUGGCAGACGGCUGAGUAACACGUAAGUAAUCUGCCCCGGAGAGGGGGAUAACCCGGAGAAAUCCGGUCUAAUACCCCGUAAGUUCAUGUGGUUACGGCCAUGUGAAGAAAGGCUUUUGCCGCUCUGGGAGGAGCUUGCGGCCUAUCAGGUAGUUGGCGGGGUAAUGGCCCACCAAGCCGAAGACGGGUAACCGAUGUGAGAGCAUGAUCGGUCAGAGGGGGACUGAGACACGGCCCCCCCUCUUACGGGAGGCAGCAGCAGGGAAUCUUGCGCAAUGGGCGAAAGCCUGACGCAGCGACACCGCGUGGGGGAAGAAGGCCCCAGGGUUGUAAACCCCUUUUCUGUGGGAAGAGAUAGGACGGUACCACAGGAAUAAGCAUCGGCUAACUACGUGCCAGCAGCCGCGGUAAUACGUAGGAUGCAAGCGUUGUCCGGAUUUACUGGGCGUAAAGGGUGUGUAGGCGGCAUGUUAAGUCUCAUGUGAAAUCUCCCGGCUCAACUGGGAGGGGUCAUGGGAAACUGGCAAGCUGGAGGUCAGUAGAGGA
rnacentral:rRNA from 1 species